AUGCAUGCUGUGAAAUUUUGCUACAGAUGGAACAUAGGGGAUGGUAGCAGAACCAGGUUCUGGGAAGAUACUUGGUUUGGCACAUCCCCCCUAGCAGUCCAAUUUUGGCCUAUUUACUCUGUCCGCAAUGAGCUUAACAAAAGUGUCAAUGAAGUUUGGGACGGUCAAUGCCUAAAACUCUCUUUUAGAAGGAACUUUAGUGAUAUUCUCAAAGAACAAUGGUUCCAGUUGGAGGAAAUUGCCAAAAGCAUUACCUUUACUGCCGAGCCGGAUGCCCUGAUUUGGCAGCUAGACAAUAAGGGGAAGUAUUCCUCCAUCUCCCUCUAUCAUGUUAUCAUCUUUAGAGGGGUUCAACCUGUGUUUAUCCUUGUUGUCUUGAAAUUCAGAGUCCCCCCUAAAAUUCAUGUAUUUCUCUGGCUUCUCUCCAAAAACAAAUUGAUGACUAGGAAUAACCUUAGGAAGAGACACAUCAUCAAACCCCUUGAUUGUGUUCACCUAUUUUUUGAAUGUAUAGUUGCUAAACAUCUCUGGGCCCACAUUGAGGAAUAUUUCUCUAGUCAGAUUGGAUGA
rnacentral:rRNA from 1 species